rnacentral:lncRNA from 1 species
UUAGACCGAUUCAAAGAACCACCUGCUUAUGGGCCUAUGUGUGACAUCUUGUGGUCAGACCCCCUGGAGGACUUUGGAAAUGAGAAGACUCAGGAACAUUUCACUCACAACACAGUCAGGGGUUGUUCGUACUUCUACAGGUGAGGACCCUGCCUCCUGGAGUGCCUGCCUUACAGUAUUGGAGUUUAAAACGUGAUUCCUGAAUUAAUAGAUGUACUGUAUGUACGCCUGCAUGUAAAUGCACCCAUAUAUAAUUUUUGUGAACAGUAAGAAAGGGAUGAAAGAGCUGGUACUGAGAGAGGGGAUGGCUGCGAUUGAUAAAAUGUACUAGAAAUUGUCUCUAUUGCAUGAACUGUGGGAGCUUCAUUACUAAGCAAGCCUUUUUUUCAUCCAUGAAUGGACUCGUGCUCUACCAGUUCUUAUAACUACAUCAGAAAACUAACUUCUCCUUGCUUGACUAAGUCAGACUCAGUUCAUUCUUACAUAGUUUCAAGGGCUUGGGGCUUCCUGGAGGGGUGAGAACCCUCAGUUAUAGAGUUCCCAGGUAACCCAGCAGAUACACCCUUAGCCCUUUGAUAAGCCACAAUGAAAACGUCUUGAUAAAGCUUUUACAUUUGCAAAUUUAAGAACUUAAUUUAAUAAAGGAAUCCAGAGCA